CAAGGUGCAUGGAGAAGAUGAAAGAAUUAAAAAAGCAGGAACUCCAACAACACUUGAGAAACGAAGAACAGCUUUAAUAAUUGACCAACGCGUUUCGGCUUGUGGCCUUCAUCAGGGUCAUGACCCUGAUGAAGCUGUUCUUCGUUUCUCAAGUGUUGCUGGUCUCUAACUGGUCCAUCCCAGAACCUCAGAUCAAUGUGUUCAAAAGAUUUUUUUUUUUCAUGUUUUAUGUAUUUUUAAUCACUUAAUUAGACUUUACCUAUAUUGACUGUACCUUUAAAAGUUUAGCUUUUUUCAACAUAAACAGUCAGAAAAUACAUAUUAAAAUGUUUAAAAUAUUUUAAAUAAUUUUAAAUUUUACAUUUUGUUUGUUUGUUCUUGUUCACACAGCAUAGAUGUGGUUUCUGUGCAGGACUAAAAUAGUUUUGUUCUCAUUUGUUUUUCUGUGGUUCUGUGGGUUUCACCAAAGUGUCAGAUGGGAUAUUUAUCUCUUCCAAUUUGGUUGUGGCUAACCAAUGCAUGCCCCUGUUUAACACAGAAAACAAUCCAACAGAAUAAACAUUAACCUACAACACCAGCAGCUUUUUAGUGAGUACUGAAGCUGAACAGAAAAGCUUUAGUACUGACUGUAUGAAGAGUUUUAAUUUCUUUAUUUCCGUAAUGAGCUGGAAAUCAACCAACAGAUGCAGGGAUGGAAAAUUGUUUCAUUUUCAUUAAUUAAUUGUUUAAUAAGAAAAUUCUACAUUAGCAGCUUUAAAAUGGGAAUAUUUACCUUUUUGUUGUUGUUGUUGUUUUAAUGAUUUGAAACUUCUAAUUUGUUUGUCUGCUACUCAGUCAAAAUAAAGUGAUUUCAGUAUAUUAUCUUGGACUGUAUUAAAAUUAUAUAAGCACGGGGGAGAGUAACCUGGUUAUAUUAGUAGAUAGUAAUUGUUUGGUCAUCUAUUUAUUGAAAAGCUGUUUUAUUGAUUGCUCCUUCUUCAGGGAAACAUUUAUAGUGUCUUCGUCAGUAGUUUAAGAUCAGAACAGAAACCUGAACUGUUUUAGUGUCUGAUAAAUUACAAACUUGAACAUGUGACUCAGACUGGAUCACAUCUCCUGAACAAGCUCAGAGACAAUCUUGCAUUAACCCUCUCAGUCAAGCUUGAUAGACGAGUCUUGUAUAUUGUCUGCUGCCAUCUACUGGUGAAACUGGCUGUUACAUCAGGCUUCAGUGUUAAGAUUUUAACCUCUUAACGUCCACCAGUUUGGAUAAGUAGGUUAUAUUUUACUCACAUCACAUUCAUUUCAUUAUCAUCAGUGAUCAUUUAAAUUCUUAACGGCUUCAAGUAAUAAUAAUUUAUUUGUGUGUUUUGUUUUGUUUUUUUUGUUUGUUUGUUUGUUUAUUUUUUCAAGAUAUUGCUGUUGUUGUGUCGAUGUAUUGUGUUGUUGUUUGGGUUAUUGAAAGUCCCCAAGUGUGGGAUUCCACAUGCUGCCAGAGGAAGACAACUAGCAUUUUAUUAGGAAGAGUACAACAUCGGCCUCCUGUUUCUUUUAAUAAACUAUUGAAAGCAUCAUUUAAACAACAACACCUCCCUCUCAUGAUCUAAUAUAUAUCGCACAGAUGUGAGUGUAAUGUUCCCUUUUCACCUAAUAGUGGCAGUUACUAUUACUAUUAUUAUUAUAAGUUAUUACUUACUGAUAUCAAUGGUUAAGCACUACUGUGAAAGUAUUUUAUUAAAAAGUCAAUUGCCUUCCUGUGGGCGUGUCGGCACAUUAUGUUCAAAAUGCCAGGCAUUGUUUCUUCCACAUUUUCUGUAUGUUUUAAGUGAUAUUUAUUUACAGAUAUUAUUUUUCUAUUGCUAGAAAUAUUUUUAUUUCCAAAAUAUGAGAGUCUUAAAUGUACAAUAUUUUUAACCCUUGUUAAAAAACUUGUCAAAAUCUGUCAUGGUGAGCUGACAAGGGUAGGACCCAAACACAGGAGACAGACAAAAGAUGAACUUAAAGAGGCAUCUUUUAUUUGCUUUAAUACUUGACUGAAACAAAGUACAAAAAUAAAACAAAAAAUGCUAAAAGAAGCAAAUAAAGACCCUGACAACUAAAACACUUAUAACUGGGAGACCGUGAAACAGACACACAGCUACUGUGAAGGAUGUGACAAUGAAGUGAAGGAGACUGAAGACUUAAAUACACGUGCAGGAUAGUGAACAGAAUAGGCGGGAACACAGCUGGGACUAAACAGACACAACCAGACAGGGAGGAAGCAAAAGUGAAUACACUAGCACAAGAUGCGGGACUAUCAAAAUAAAACAGGAAGUAAGACAAAUACAUAGACACAGACACAGGUUUAAGACAGACUGGGCAGACAGAGAGGGAACAUGGAACACGGAGGCAAGAGCAACUAAAUGCUGUUAUGAUUUGGCGCUAUAUAAAUAAAAUUGAAUUGAAUUAAAUGAGAAACAUGGAACAGAAGGAAAGCACAGUGAUGGAAAACUAAAGACUAGAAACUACAUUCAAAAAAAUGAAUGAGGUGGAUUGUUCAGUGUAUAUUAAUUAUUUAUUUUCAUUUUACUUAAAAUAUAUGUUUUUGUUAAGUUAACAUGUGUUUUUCUAAUCAAGUCUAUGUAAUUGUGUCUAUUAUUCACUGUACAUAAUACUAAUGUGUUACUUGAUGGCAUAACAUUUAAGUUAAGUCAAUUAGGAUCGAUAUACUUUGUAUAUCCACUAGGUGGCAGUAAUGCAAAAACAGUUGUAAUGAAACCGCGAAGAACAACAAGGUUUCACGGCUUGGGCCUGCUCAUGAGCAAGACUUCAAAUUUAACUUAAAAACGUUGUUUUGGCGCCAAGCUGCUGUUUCUUUGAGAGAUCCUGGCCUUUACCUGCUCCCUCCUAUACUGAUGUGGUGUAUGUGGUACUGCUGAGCUUGUAUGUGGUGGAAGCAGAAUUUGUGAGGAUUACUACUGCUCCACUUGUUCCAAGGCUUUUUGCACAACUUGACCAAUACACUGACCAGCUCAUAAAAGUCUUCAAGAAAAAAGGAGGCGCUGCAGUGAAGUAAAUUAGACAAAUUUUGGCCCCAGCCACAAAUAAGGAAACUAUUGAAAAGGGGAGGGAGUGUGUCCUCAGGGCACUACCUUUCUACCUGAAUGAAGACCCAACCAUCCUCUUCAAAGAAUAAUUGCUACAGCUACAGCUGUUCAGAGGAGCUGGAACAAAUUACCCUUGCUGUCUUCACCAUCGAAAAAGCUGAUGUCAGCACUCCUCCAGCCGAUGUGGGUAUAACCAUCUAGGGUGUUCUGCAUGACCUGGAAAACAUGGCCUUUGAAGUACUUCAGAAGCUCUUCCUUCAUCUGUAUGUCAGCAGACUCUUGACCAAGAGAAACACACCACCACACCUCCAACCUCUAUCCUUGAAUAUCCACCUGCAGUGAGAACAUCAGAGCAAACAGGCUCAGAGCUUUUCAGCAGGAUGUUCAGGUGAAGCUUGGAGAUGACGUCACUCUCCAGUGUCAGGUUUCCACAGAUGAAAUAAUCUCAGUGCUGAAGUGGAGCAGAGCUGACCUGAACACAGACGGCUACGUCUACUUCUACAGGAACAAACGCUCCUAUGAAAACUACCAACAUCCAUCUUUUCAUGGUCGAGUGAAGCUGAGGGACCCGGAGAUGAAGGAUGGAGACGUUUCUCUGAUCCUGAAGAAAGUCACGUUUAAUGACACUGGGAUUUAUGAGUGUCACGUAGCAGUGAGGAACCCUGUGAGAAGUAAAAGAGUUCACACUGAGAUCAGUCGCUUCAUCAACCUCACAGUCACAGGUGAAACACAUGAAAGCGUGUCAGAGAAACGAGUCGUGGAAAGAGGAGACGCAGAUGAAAACAUGGAUGGUACUGAAAGGGUCGGAGCUCCAUCUCUUCAGUUUUCUGUGACCAAUUUUGAGGAACUUCCUUCUGACCUAUUGAAAAAACAACAGGGUGUAUGGACUUUGUCAGUGGAUAAUUUUUCCAUCCUGAUGAUCAGAAGAGUGUUUGAGGGUUUCAGAGAUCCUUCAGAUCAACAGUAUUUGUUUGUCACAUGUCUGGACUUGCAGCUGCUCAAACAGGACAAACAAAGGUGGGGGUGAAAAUGUUGAUGCAGGUCACAGAUGUCUGAUAUAAAACAGCUGACAGAAAAUACAGGUUAGUUUAGUCUGCAGCUGUUUGAUACAGACAUACCUUUACUUUGGGAUUUUAAACUUUUACAUUUUUUAUGAUUUGAUUUUUUUUUAUUUCUCAAAUAUUUACAUCUGAGUAACUUUUUACUUCUUUGUAACAAAACUUCAGUCGCUUCCUUUUCACCUACUGAAAAACCGAUGGGACAUACUGACCUCACAGUUUUUUAUCUGUCAGUAGAUCAUUUUAUUUUUUCCACUCUGAUGAUCAGAAGAGUGUUUGAGUGUUUCAGAGAUCCUUCAGAACAACAGUUCCUGCUGACCCAAUGAAAAUGCUGAUGGGGAAUACCAGCCUCACACUUUUCUGUCACUGGAUAAUUUUUCCAUCCUGAUGAUCAGAAGAACAACCAGAAAAACAUCACAGCAAAGUCUGGACAGAACGUCACUCUGACAUGUCGAGCUCCAAACAGCAACAUUGGAGUUAUAGAGUGGAGCAGAACUGACCUGAAGGAAGAAUAUGUCCUUUUGUACCGAGAUGGACACUUAGAUCAAGAUCACCAGCAUCCAUCUUUUAAGAACCGGUCGGAUCUGCAGGACAGACAGAUGAAGGAUGGAGACGUGUCUGUGAUUCUGAAAUAUGUGACGAUUAAUGACACUGGAACAUACAAGUGUUGUGUCCAGAAAGACGGAGACAGUUUGAAGCUCAUCUGCAACAUCACCCUGAGUGUUGAUCCUCCAGGUCAGACAGGAGGAGACACGGAGGAUGGAGGGAAGGAGGAUGGAUCUGUUCUGAAAGUUGGUCUUCCAGUUGGGGUUAUUGUUGCUGCUGCUGUUGUUGUUGUUGUGUGCUACAGACGAUAUAAACAGAGUCUGGAUUCACAUCGUCCUAAUGCAGAACCAUAGACUGAAAUGUCUGAGAGCUUCCUGAACUCUGAAUCUUCUGCUGCUGAACACAAAGACAAAUGAUCUGAAAACAGACACCAUCACUUCAGAAGGAUCCACGAUUUCACUCUAAUAUUUGACAAUGAACCGUUUCAUCGUCAUCCUCUGCAGAAAACAGCAUAACUGCUUGAUAAUGUCUGACAGCAGUUUGAAGAGGAAAUGGAUUCUGUUCUGUUCUUCACUCAUCACCUACCUGACAGCUGACACCUCACACCUGUUUCUCACCUGCAGGUCAAGGAGGAGACACAGAGGACGGGUCUGUUGGACUAAUAGUUGGUCUCUUAGUUUCUGCUAUGGUUUCUGUUGUUGUUGUUGUUGGUUUUCUGAUCUAUAGAAAACAUCAGAAAGGUGUUUUAUAACUGAGCUGUUAAAUCUCACUGUCACAUGACACAUGACUUGUUGAUCAGCUCCAGCUGAAUGAAUGUUAUAAUGAACAGUGUUAUGAAAUUAUUUCCAUGGAGCUGCAGAGUCAGAUGUUUCCUCUCCGAUCUGUGAAACUUUGAACUUUUCCUACAGUGAAGGAAAAUCUUCAGUCUGUUGUUGCAGUUUAAACCAGAUCACACAUUAGUUUAACAUUUAACAAUGUUUUUUGUGACUUUUCUUGUUCAUUUCUUAUAAAUUUUGAAAGAUCAGUCCUGAAUUGUUUCUAUUAAUUUUCUUUAAUUCUUAAAUUUUUUGUUUUCUGUGGCCGUAAAAGAUGAAAGAAGUUUUCUGACCUUUUCCUGCAGAUUUUAUCUGACCUGAAUGAGUCCAAACAGACCACUGAACAUGUGUGAAGGAAAAAAACACACAAUAAAAAUGCUCUUUGAAACCGUUUCCCUGCCUGAGAGAUGAAGCUGAGAUUUAAGUUUGUUCCUGUAACAAGAAACAAAAAGAUGGAGGAUCGCUCUCAGAGUGGAAACAUGAUUUGAAGCUGCUGUGAACAGAUUUAAAUGAUGCUCAUUUUUAGACAAUGUUUUGAUAACUGUGCAGGGUUAUCAAACUUUUUCAUUCUUCAACCUGAAAAUAUUUUCACUGAAUAAAAAUUCAAGAAAGUCAGCA